rnacentral:rRNA from 1 species
AUGAAAAGAUUGAAGAACGAGGUAGAAGAUACUGAGUUGUUCAGAUGUUUACAGGAAAUCCAUGGGAAAAACUACCACAGCUUUGUAUUAAGCAAGCAGGUUCCAGUCGUUGGUAAUUUCAGGGAAGCCUACAUUGGCAUUGCUCCUGAGUUAGCCAAAGAGAUCGCGGAAGAAGUGGAUGUUAUCGUAAACUCUGCAGCAAAUACCACUUUUGAUGAGAGGUAUGAUGUAGCACUAGACAUCAACACCGUGGGGCCAUUCCGGAUAAUGAGUUUCGCGCAGCGGUUUCGAAGACUGAAGCUCUUCUUGCAAGUAUCAACAGGUCAGAAUGCCAAAUAA